UUGGGCGGCACGUUUGUACAAGCUGCGAAGAUGUUGCCUAAACACGCUACUGUUGCUCUUGCGCUGCUGACGGUGUCGCUGAUGGGUGCGUUCUGCGCUCAUCUAAAGGCUGGCUGUAAGGUGGAAACUACGGGCUUGUGGUGAAGGCUACGUUCCCCAUGGAAAUCAAACACAUUUGGAAGUCUCCGGGCCGCCAUUUACGAAAGCCUGCAAGCUAUACGUGCAGCAGAUUGAAUGCAGCAAGCAAUUUAUUAAAGACUGCACGGAUGGUGUGCCGAAGGCCGCU
rnacentral:lncRNA from 1 species